GUUACAAUAGUACGAGGUUUGGUGUUGUUCCUUUGUCAUUCGUGACAAAAUACUAGGAGAAGAUAGUAUAACACAUUUCUGUGCAUAUUGUGCCGCCAUAAAAUUGCCCUUGAAAAGAUGAUUUUUGUUUGUAGUGUUGUACUAUCCGCUCCGCCCUACUUUAUGUUUCUUGACCUUCUCUGUUAGUAGCAAGAAUUUAGGGCCGCAAUCCGGGGCGGGGUAGACUGACUGCUGCAUUUGGUUGCUAACUUGCUUCUCUUAGUCUGGUGUCCAAAAAGGUGCGCAAGUACAAAUAAAAUAGACGUAAUAUGUCGUCACACUCAUUUAACUGGAGGCUUUAUUCCAUCCUCCAGCUUCAUAAGUAAUGUAUGAGUGGCCCUUCCUUCGACAUACAAAUGUGAGGUGUCACAUAUGCAAGGUGGUGGUGGGCCCCAAAAAGCAGGCAGAAGGAAGGAGCAGGGUGUACAUCAGUGAUUGUAUUAAAACUCAGAAAACUAAAUCCAAAACAAACUCCAAAGUAUCAAACAAAACACAUGACUGAAGAUAACACUUUACAAUGACUGACUGAAACAAACAUGACGGCAGCCAACAAACAGCCACAAAUAAUGACCUGACCAUGAGUGGUCGAGCGGGAGUCCUUUUAUAUUACUAAUUACAUAAUGUCCAACAGGUGUGCAGUUGCAGGGGGAGCCCUACAGUGCCACCUGUUGUUCACAAACAGAAUCAUGACAUGAGGGUACAUUUGUCAAAGUAUCAUCGAGAUUAGGGGUCACCAACGUGGUGCCUGUGGGCACCAGGUAGCCCGUGAGGACCACACCAAUAGCCCGCCAGUCCUAGGAUUGUGAUUUGCGAGUAGAAAUUAUGAUUUAAAAAUGCAAACACUGGCAGAAUUGUGAGACAUCUUUAAGAUGAUCAGAGCCUGAAAAUUUACAUGAAUCAUUAAGUAUUAAAAAUAACACAUUUUAAUAUUAUUAAAUGUAAUUUGUACAGAUGUUAUUUCAGACGUGUAUCAAUUUGGUAGCCCUUCACACAAUCAGUAUACAUGAAGUAG